rnacentral:snRNA from 1 species
GUGGUAGCACAUAUGCUGAAAUUGGAACGAUACAGAGAAGAUUAAUGUGGCCCCUGCACAAGGAUGACCCAGCAUCAGGCUGUAGGAGAAACGCUGGAUU